rnacentral:rRNA from 1 species
AUACGUAGGUGGCAAGCGUUAUCCGGAUUUAUUGGGCGUAAAGGGUGCGCAGGCGGUCUGUUUAGUCUGAGGUGAAAGCUUUGAGCUUAACUCAAUUAAGCCUCUGAUACUGGCAGACUUGAGUGCAGAAGAGGGUUAUGGAAUUCCAUGUGUAGCGGUAAAAUGCGUAGAUAAAUGGAGGAACACCAGCGGCGAAGGCGGUAAGCUGGUCUGGUACUGACGCUAAGGCACGAAAGCGUAGGGAGAAAAUAGGAUUAGAUACCCUAGUAGUCCACGCACUAAACGAUGAUUACUAAAUGUUGGGGAAACUCAGUGUUGCAGCUAACGCAAUAAGUAAUCCGCCUGGGGAGUAUGCACGCAAGAGUGAAACUUAAAGGAAUUGACGGGG